GUAGGUAUAGUUUAACCAAAACAUUAGAUUGUGAUUCUAAAAACAAGGGUUAAACCCCCCUUACCCACC
rnacentral:tRNA from 1 species